GACGAACGCUGGCGGCGUGCUUAACACAUGCAAGUCGAACGGUAAGGCCCUUCGGGGUGCACGAGUGGCGAACGGGUGAGUAACACGUGGGUGAUCUGCCCUGCACUUCGGGAUAAGCCUGGGAAACUGGGUCUAAUACCGGAUAGGACUCCGGACUGCAUGGUCUGGGGUGGAAAGCUUUUGCGGUGUGGGAUGGGCCCGCGGCCUAUCAGCUUGUUGGUGGGGUGAUGGCCUACCAAGGCGACGACGGGCAGCCGGCCUGGGAGGGUGACCGGCCACACUGGGACUGAGAUACGGCCCAGACUCCUACGGGAGGCAGCAGUGGGGAAUAUUGCACAAUGGGCGCAAGCCUGAUGCAGCGACGCCGCGUGAGGGAUGACGGCCUUCGGGUUGUAAACCUCUUUCAGCAUCGACGAAGCGAAAGUGACGGUAGGUGCAGAAGAAGGACCGGCCAACUACGUGCCAGCCGCCGCAGUAA
rnacentral:rRNA from 1 species